AUGCUUUGGCAGACAAGCUUCAGCUGGCAGCACCUUCAAGGAUGGCUUCAGCUCCACAGAACUUCCUCACCGAAGGUCGUGUCCUUCAGAGGGUAGCCCACAUCAAAUGACGGUGGAGGAGGGUAGACAUCUGUCAGACCAUUUCAGCCCAACAAAGGACAACUGUAAUGGGUUGUUUUAGCCCAAGCUUCCGCAUGAAGUUGGAACUGCUCCUACUGCCAGAUCCUUCUUCCUGCCUCCCCUUUCCAUGAGCGCUGAUGAGUCUUAGAGUCCAUCUCAGCGUCCUUCCCGGAGAACCCGACUCGUGAGACAUGGGUGGUUAAAAACACAUCUCUACAUCAGUAAUGACCUAGCUUCUCCACGUACUCAAGGAGGAUCAGGAGUAUGACUACAUUUCACUGUGCAGUGCCCCAAGGUCUUUCCAAGCCAGUGCCUAACCAGGUUCAACGAAUUUGCUGCUAUCCUGAGACUGAUUCUCAGUAGACACAAAGGACUGGCGCACACACUAUCAUAUGGCAGGAUGCGAUGGAAUGGGAAGGUCCUCAUUAUUUCCAAGAUAUUGUCCUAACAAUUGCUGGGUGCCCUCAAGAUUCUCCAAUGCCUCCAAUAUGUAAGCCUCAGGCCUAAGGGGAAACUACACAAUUCUGGACCAUGGCGGGGGAGUGAACUCAGCUGGAACAGGUUAAAAAUCCUACUCAAUCUCCAUGACUGAGUGACAAUCUCUGACACUAUACCAGUUCUUAAUAUAAAUUCAACUCACAAACAUCUCCUGAGCAUCCCAAUUCAUAUUUGUGAGACAUGCUGCUGACCUGAUGGACCAAGCCCUUGUUUCCCCCAGAAGGGAUAUUUUCUGAUGUUGCAACAAUGAAAAUCUGGAUGAAAUUCUGAGAUUUCAGGGAGGCAUCAGAAGAUAAGAAUGAAGAAAGAAGUAUAAAAUUAAAAACCUUAUUUUUCAUGACUGGAAAAAUCAUUAUCCUAAUCCUUGAGUAUAUCUUCUAUGUCCUUCUCUUGCAUGUCCCUAUAUUGUUGCUAUGCUGUCUGCCUCAGUGCAACCAGAGCCACCAAAUGUGCUGCCUUCACGCUAGUGAAACCUCUUGCUGAUGCUCAGGGUGCACUGCCAAAGAGGAGGGGCAUGUGUGAUUUGUCAGAGCCGGUCACCAGGGGUGGAGAGUUGGAGAAGGGCAUCGAAAGGAUGUGACCACCAGUUGAAACUCUCACCAGAGCAGGGCAAUCAGAGGCUCCUCACUCCUCCCGUCCUUGGAAUGUAGAUUCCACCCACUGUUCCUGCACUAGGAUCCACUUCAAGCACACAGCCUGGAGAGAGUAAUGUGUUGCUGAGACCAUCUGGAUGGUUACAUGACUGAAUCCCAUUAAGGCCUCUAUAUAAACUCUUAAGAAUUUGGCAGAUGUGUGUGCAGAUCUACUCAUGUUGUGGCCAGCCAAGGCAAGCCUUGUAUGUAAGUUGCCUUGCUUAUUAAAACUGCUGCCUAGCCCCCCACUCCCACAAAAAUUGUAGUAUUUUUAGAUUGCAUUGGUGGGUUUUUCCCUAAGCAACUACAAAUAAGCUAGAAGUAACGUGAAAUUGCUCAGGUAUCUGUCCCCUUGAGAAAGACUGCAUUCCUAAUUGCAGCCAACCGUGUUACACUUACACAUCAUAUAUAAAGUAGUAUUUAAAAAUUCAGACUGAAU
rnacentral:lncRNA from 1 species